GUGGGAACCAGAAUUGCAGCAACAACCACAUGCACCACGAACCUUGUUUUUUCGCACAUUGUCAAAAGAAAACUAUUAUAAAUUAAAUUAUAGGUUUAAUUGUAGACUUAAUUAUCACAAAUCGUUACACCAGAAAUAUAUCCUAUCCGUCUACAAGUUUUUGAAAACCAAAUUUCAUUACACGAGAUGGAAGAAGAACAAGAUUUCAAAAGUGUACGAGGCCUAACUCGUUCGGAAGCGCUAUAUCCAAGAUUGCCACUAAUUAAUCCAGAAACUAAUUUGAGGCAGGAUGGCAGGCAUACGAGCAACAUUCGACCAAUUUUUUUGCAAACCGGAAUUCGACAAGGAGCCAAGGGUUCAGCCUACAUUGAGCUUGGAACUACUAAAGUUAUCUGUAUCAUCUCAGGGCCCAAGGAUUUACCAAAGAAGGUUGAUUUCAGUACGACGGGAUUACUAUCCGUGGAAGUACAACUUGUUGGUGGGAAGGUUCCAGAGAGAGAUGUAACUUUAAUUAAGGAAUGUCUCGAGGCUACGAUUCUACUGGACAAGUUUCCCAAACUAAUAUUGGAGAUUUAUCUCACAAUAAUGGAGGACGGUGGGUCUGCAAUGUCUGCAUGCAUCACGGCCGCUGGAAUGGCCUUACUCGAAGCAGGAAUUCCUCUUUUCGACACUUUAGUCGGAUCGACCUUGUUAUACGACGGAAAAGAUUUUUAUCUGGACCCUACCCGUCAAGAAAUCGAAGUCGUAGACUUAACCGACCAAGAGAAGAAUGACAAAGGGGGCGGCCUAAUAACCAUGGGAUAUCUUCCAUCUAGAGAACAAAUCUGUUUAUUUUCCAUGGAAGGAAAAAUGGGACCCCUCGUCCUCGACUCUGCGAUAGAUGUUCUCACUCAAACUAACCUACAAGUGUAUUCCGUCGUGAAGAAACAAGCUGCUCACCUCCUCGUGCAGGAAGAAGAUGAUCCAGCAGAAAAUACCAACUAAUUAGGCAGAAAUACUAAUAAUUUUAUUUAACAAUGUUCCAUUUUUUCACUUGUACUAACAAUGGGAUGGUGUGACGUUACGCAUUUCUUACUUGCAAAAUUUUGUCGACUUUGCUUACAUACUUUAAAAUCACGGUGGCUCAAUGACACUUAAUUCAAUAAGUAAGAUGCAUGCCUAUUUACAUACAUUUUUUUCAUGACAUCAUGUUUUUGCUGGUAUAAGCAAUAAAAAAUAUUACACUGUAUCAUAAACUAUUA